UACGUAGGGUGCAAGCGUUGUCCGGAAUUAUUGGGCGUAAAGAGCUCGUAGGCGGUCUGUCGCGUCGGCUGUGAAAACUCGGGGCUCAACCCCGAGCCUGCAGUCGAUACGGGCAGACUAGAGUGCUGUAGGGGAGACUGGAAUUCCUGGUGUAGCGGUGAAAUGCGCAGAUAUCAGGAGGAACACCAGUGGCGAAGGCGGGUCUCUGGGCCGAUACUGACGCUGAGGAGCGAAAGCGUGGGGAGCGAACAGG
rnacentral:rRNA from 1 species